CGGGGAGUGGCCUAGCCUGGUUGAAGGCACGUGCCUCGGGCGCACGAGAUCGGGAGUUCGAAUCUCCCCUCCCCGACCA
rnacentral:tRNA from 1 species